AGGAGGCGCCCGCACUUCAAAACUCCGAUACAGGACAGGUGUGACAUUGCCGCACAUUCAGCGACAUCGGCUCCUCCUCUUCUGUGUCGUGCAUUGAGCGCAUCUGCGCAGCGCUCCUCCUCCGCGCGGUGCGUCAGCAGGGCGCUCACACCCCUUAGCGACUUCAAAAAAGCCCUCGCGCCUUGUUGUGAUUGUCGCUGCCCACGCAUGAUCUAAUAGGCACUCUUAGACUUUCAUACAAGUACACACAGACUCACACAUACGCACACACACGCACAUAUAUAUAUAUAUAUAUGUAUAUCCCUGCUGCAACUCACCCCCCCCCCCUGCAUACCUCUGACAAGAAGGACAAGGCAACAGAGGGAAGAAAAAAGGGGAGGGGUGGCAGACGGACUUGAUCGUAGCAGCUCCUCCAUCCUCGCCAUUCAAACAUGCCAAUCAUUUUGCACGAGGUCCGCGCCUUUCGGCGAUGCACCGCACCGUAUCUCCCACUCAUCUUCCGCAACUGGAAUCGACUGGUGCUGGUGCCGUACCGCUUAGCGAUGUGGUGCGUGCACUUUAGUACCCUGAUCUGUGUUACACGAGGCAGCGAUCGCAUGAUUCGCGUCUCCUCCCUGGCGCGCGGCUGCGCGGAGGCGGAUUACGUCUUCCUGCGACAGGUCACAAACCUGUGCCUUGCCACCAGCUUCCUCUGCUUGUUCUUCAACCUUUGGGGCGUCUUGACAACUCGCACGCUUCGCUUCGGUGUCGACAACUGGUUUCAGGGCUCCUGCCAUUGCGCGGCGGCGGUGCUGUUGAUCGUGUCGUGGCAGGCCACCGUGCACGUCGCGCGCAUCUGGCAGGUAUUUUACAUCUUUUCCAUCAUCCCCACCGGCAUCGAGGCCAUCACGCUGGCGCACUCCUACUGGAGAGGGAUGGAAUUCUUUUGGUAGGGAACGAGGUGGGCAGAGAGGGGGUCGGGGCGAGGACGGAAGAGAAGUACGCGUGCCACAACACCCUUAUCUCUCCUUGUCCGCUGCCGUGGACACAGCCGACGAGCGGUCCAAUACCGCAAAAGCUGCACUUGUGUGGUCAUCAUUUUCUGGUGCCGAUGGCCCCUUCGUGGUGGAUGAGUUGCCGCCGUCUCUGCUGCUUCUUCUUUCAGCGAUGCCACUGUCUCGCGCGUGUUGCCGAUCAAUCCUUCUGUUGCCUUGGGAGGCGGAGGGGGAGGGGCACGCGAGCAAAAGGCGCUUCUGCGUAUGUGUAGGCACGUGAAGAGGCACGCCUGUGCCUACACACGCGUGCCACCCAGAGAUGGCCCCUGCAUCCUUGGCGACUCGUCUUCACAUGCAGCUUAUCAUACGCCGCCCAUCCCCCGUCGCUCUAUGCGUCUCCCCACAUGCACAUGUAUCUUGGGUGCUCUUCGCGCGGGUCGGCGUUGUCAGCUUCGCGGGUUGAUCGGCAGCGACGGUCGUGACUCGUUACUGCGGAAACAACGCACAGAAGCCGAGAGGAAACAAGUGAAAAAAGAACAAAAGCGGUGCUGCCUUGCGUUUG
rnacentral:misc_RNA from 1 species